rnacentral:ncRNA from 2 species
AUCUUCAGGGCCGUGUGAAAGUCACGACCGGCGGUACAGCCCGCGAGCCGGAAGGCAUGAUUCGGUGAAACUCCGAAGCCGACAGUAAAGUCUGGAUGAAAGAAGAU